rnacentral:rRNA from 1 species
UACGUAGGGGGCAAGCGUUGUCCGGAUUUACUGGGCGUAAAGAGCGUGUAGGCGGCCAAGCAGGUCCGUUGUGAAAACUGGAGGCUUAACCUCCAGACGUCGACGGAAACCGCGUGGCUAGAGUCCGGAAGAGGAGAGUGGAAUUCCUGGUGUAGCGGUGAAAUGCGCAGAUAUCAGGAAGAACACCAAUGGCGAAGGCAGCUCUCUGGGACGGUACUGACGCUAAGACGCGAAAGCGUGGGGAGCGAACAGG